GAAUCUAGGAGGCUGUGCCUCCGGGUCGCGCGAAGAGUCUAAGUCAUUGCUCAGAAACCUCUGAUAGGUGGGCCUUAGCGGAAACGCCGCCGGCCAUGAUGCCUCAGAGGCCUGGGGUUCCUGAGGCAGAGGGGGAAGCUGCUUUUUCAAAGCGAAUUAAAUGAGAGUAACCACAGCCGCCACAAAGGAGGGCAAAAACAGAAACCCACCUGGAGGAACCAGCUGAUCCAGAGGAGAGCACCGCGAGAAUCAGGAAACGCAUCCCUGUCUGUCUGCCUGGGAAGAGACCUAGAAACUGGCACGUCUCUGAGGGAAGAUGAGGA